GAUGAACGCUGGCGGCGUGCCUAAUACAUGCAAGUCGAACGCUGGAGAUCUAGCUUGCUAGAUCGAAGGAGUGGCGAACGGGUGGGUAAUACAUAAGCAACAUACCCACGAAGACUGGGAUAAUCUCUGGAAACGGGGACUAAUACCGGAAAGGUAAUCGGAAGGCAUCUGCUGGUUAUUAAAGGAUAAAAUCACUGGUGGAUGGACAUAUGGCGCAUUCGUUAGAUGGUGAGGUAACGGCCCACCAAGACGAUGAUGCGUAGCCGGCCUGAGAGGGUGAACGGCCACAUUGGGACUGCGACACGGCCCAGACUCCUACGCGAGGCAGCAGUAGGGUAUUCUCGGCACGGGGGGCAACCCUGACCGAGCCACGCCGCGUGAGUGAAGCCGGCCUUCGGGUUGUAAAGCUCUGUUGGAAGGGAAGAACGGUAGAUAGAGAAUAUCUAAGUGACGGUACCUUACCAGAAAGCCACGGCUAACUACGUG
rnacentral:rRNA from 1 species